rnacentral:lncRNA from 1 species
CAGAAGUCAGGUCGGAUUAAGCCAUAGUACGGAAAAAACUAUGCUACCUGUGAGCCCCGUCCAAGGACGUUAAAAGAAGUCAGGCCACUACAAGUGCCAUAGCUUGAGUAAACUAUGCAGCCUGUAGCUCCACCUGAGAAGGUGUAAAAAAUCUGGGAGGCCACAAACCAUGGAAGCUGUACGCAUGGCGUAGUGGACUAGCGGUUAGAGGAGACCCCUCCCUUACAAAUCGCAGCAACAAUGGGGGCCCAAGGUGAGAUGAAGCUGUAGUCUCACUGAAAGGACUAGAGGUUAGAGGAGACCCCCCCGAAAUAAAAAACAGCAUAUUGACGCUGGG